GACGAACGCUGGCGGCGUGCCUAAUACAUGCAAGUCGAACGCUGAAGGAGGAGCUUGCUUCUCUGGAUGAGUUGCGAACGGGUGAGUAACGCGUAGGUAACCUGCCUGGUAGCGGGGGAUAACUAUUGGAAACGAUAGCUAAUACCGCAUAAGAGUAGAUGUUGCAUGACAUUUGCUUAAAAGGUGCAAUUGCAUCACUACCAGAUGGACCUGCGUUGUAUUAGCUAGUUGGUGGGGUAACGGCUCACCAAGGCGACGAUACAUAGCCGACCUGAGAGGGUGAUCGGCCAAACUGGGACUGAGACACCGCCCAGACUCCUACGGGAGGCAACAGUAGGGAAUCUUCGGCAAUGGACGGAAGUCUGACCGAGCAAAGGCGCGUGAGUGAAGAAGGUUUUCGGAUCGUAAAGAUCUGUUGUAAGAGAAGAACGAGUGUGAGAGUGGAAAGUUCACACUGUGACGGUAUCUUACCAGAAAGGGACGGCUAACUACGUG
rnacentral:rRNA from 1 species